GACAGAGGGUGCAAACGUUGUCCGGAAUUAUUGGGCGUAAAGAGCUCGUAGGCGGCUUGUCACGUCGGAUGUGAAAGCCCGGGGCUUAACCCCGGGUCUGCAUUCGAUACGGGCUAGCUAGAGUGUGGUAGGGGAGAUCGGAAUUCCUGGUGUAGCGGUGAAAUGCGCAGAUAUCAGGAGGAACACCGGUGGCGAAGGCGGAUCUCUGGGCAGUAACUGACGCUGAGGAGCGAAAGCGUGGGGAGCGAACAGG
rnacentral:rRNA from 1 species